AACAGGAUUAGAUAACCCUGGUAGUCCACGCCGUAAACGUUGGGAACUAGAUGUGGGGGCCAUUCCACGGCUUCCGUGUCGCAGCUAACGCAUUAAGUUUCCCCGCCUGGGGAGUACGGCCGCAAGGCUAAAACUCAAAGGAAUUGACGGGGGCCCGCACAAGCGGCGGAGCAUGCGGAUUAAUUUCGAUGCAACGCGAAGAACCUUACCAAGGCUUGACAUAUACGAGAACGCUGCAGAAAUGUAGAACUCUUUGGACACUCGUAUACAGGUGGUGCAUGGUUGUCGUCAGCUCGUGUCGUGAGAUGUUGGGUUAAGUCCCGCAACGAGCGCAACCCUCGUUCUAUGUUGCCAGCACGUUAUGGUGGGAACUCAUAGGAGACUGCCGGGGUCAACUCGGAGGAAGGUGGGGAUGACGUCAAAUCAUCAUGCCCCUUAUGUCUUGGGCUUCACGCAUGCUACAAUGGCCGGUACAAAGGGCUGCAAUACCGCAAGGUGGAGCGAAUCCCAAAAAGCCGGUCUCAGUUCGGAUUGAGGUCUGCAACUCGACCUCAUGAAGUCGGAGUCGCUAGUAAUCGUGGAUCAGCAACGCCACGGUGAAUACGUUCCCGGGCCUUGUACACACCGCCCGUCAAGUCAUGAAAGUCGGUAACACCCGAAGCCAGUGGCCCAACCGCAAGGAGGGAGCUGUCGAAGGUGGGAUCGGUGAUUAGGACUAAGUCGUAACAAGGUAACC
rnacentral:rRNA from 1 species